rnacentral:rRNA from 1 species
GAUGAACGCUGGCGGCGUGCCUAAUACAUGCAAGUCGAGCGAACGGACGAGAAGCUUGCUUCUCUGAUGUUAGCGGCGGACGGGUGAGUAACACGUGGAUAACCUACCUAUAAGACUGGGAUAACUUCGGGAAACCGGAGCUAAUACCGGAUAAUAUUUUGAACCGCAUGGUUCAAAAGUGAAAGACGGUCUUGCUGUCACUUAUAGAUGGAUCCGCGCUGCAUUAGCUAGUUGGUAAGGUAACGGCUUACCAAGGCGACGAUGCAUAGCCGACCUGAGAGGGUGAUCGGCCACACUGGAACUGAGACACGGUCCAGACUCCUACGGGAGGCAGCAGUAGGGAAUCUUCCGCAAUGGGCGAAAGCCUGACGGAGCAACGCCGCGUGAGUGAUGAAGGUCUUCGGAUCGUAAAACUCUGUUAUUAGGGAAGAACAUAUGUGUAAGUAACUGUGCACAUCUUGACGGCACCUAAUCAGAAAGCCACGGCUAACUACGUG